UGAGCUGCUGAUGCAGCCUCGCAGAGAAAAUCAUUGGCGGGUUUAAUUGCAGAGGCUCGGGCUCCUGGCUUACGGCAUUCUUUCGCGCAAUUGCUCUGAUUUGCACUGGAGCUCCGGACCUUUAGCUCCAAUGGCUUCUACAACACCAACCAGCGCAAUCAGCCUUCCCUCUUUACCCCAACCAGAAAUAGCCAGUAGAACAAUUUCUUGGCCAAGCAUAACCAGCAGCAGCGCAGCUCACCCCAGAACUGCAAUAAUAAGUAUACGAGAAUCUUUGUAUCGACCUUUUUUACAUGGCUCUCCCUCGUAUUGCUGUGACUAACCAUUCAACUUCAUACCUUUUGCAAGGACAAUAUGAGGUUGCAGAAGAGCAAGAUGCUCAUCGGACCACUGGAGCUCUCCCUUAGGUCCUCGGCAAACUCAAUGACGUGCUGUACUAGAUCACUGGCAAGGGUGAACAAGUUAGCUGUUGCUAUUUAUGGACUCAUUACAGCCAUUGUACUGUCUCUGGACUGCUUGACACAUUUAGUGAAGAGAAAGUAGAAGCAACGUGCCAUUAACGUACAGAAUGUUAUGGCAGGACACUUGAUGUUUGGAGCUGGUCUUGCUGUGGGGCUUGUUAAUCUUGUCUGUGGUAUUGCUGUUACAAUCAUUGGUUCUGGUGCAGCUCUUUUAGAUGCUGCCAAUCCAGCCCUCUUUGUGAAAAUGCUCAUUGUCGAAAUUUUUGGCUCUGUCAUUGGUCUCUUUGGACUGAUUGUCGGCAUUGACAUGGCGAGGAGAUAAAAAUCUCAUCAGGUGUGUCUAAGACGAGAUGGGUAGAGAAGAAUGUGAUACAGAAGAGGAAAUAUAUGAAGAUGAAAUUGUAGUUGCAAGUGAGGAUGUGAUAAAGUCCAUAGAUGAUGAUGAUAAUGAUGAAAGUAAUAACCGGCCAAAUUCAAACAAAAUAACUAGUACUAUCCCUCCCAAUUUAGGCCAAGUUAUUUUUAUGAAUGAUAGUAUAGAGCGAGAACUUAAUGAUACUUAUGGUGAUUCAUUGGAACUCUAGCAAGAUGAAAAUGACAGCUAUGUAGUAAUAGGGUCUGCACCGCCAGAAAAAAGUCAAUACUGAUGAUUACAAGGUUUUAUGGAAAUAAAAUAUUGUGAAACGCUUCGAAAUCAAAAGGGUUUCACCUUACAUCGAGCAUUUCUACGCAGGAACUGUGAAUGAAACUGUGAAUCCCAGGAGAAGUGAAUGGGUACACAUUUGGGAUUUGAUUGCCUACGAUGACGGACAGAUG